rnacentral:rRNA from 1 species
GAAGUUAGCGGCGGACGGGUGAGUAACACGUGGGUAACCUGCCCAUAAGACUGGGAUAACUCCGGGAAACCGGGGCUAAUACCGGAUAACAUUUUGAACUGCAUGGUUCGAAAUUGAAAGGCGGCUUCGGCUGUCACUUAUGGAUGGACCCGCGUCGCAUUAGCUAGUUGGUGAGGUAACGGCUCACCAAGGCAACGAUGCGUAGCCGACCUGAGAGGGUGAUCGGCCACACUGGGACUGAGACACGGCCCAGACUCCUACGGGAGGCAGCAGUAGGGAAUCUUCCGCAAUGGACGAAAGUCUGACGGAGCAACGCCGCGUGAGUGAUGAAGGCUUUCGGGUCGUAAAACUCUGUUGUUAGGGAAGAACAAGUGCUAGUUGAAUAAGCUGGCACCUUGACGGUACCUAACCAGAAAGCCACGGCUAACUACGUGCCAGCAGCCGCGGUAAUACGUAGGUGGCAAGCGUUAUCCGGAAUUAUUGGGCGUAAAGCGCGCGCAGGUGGUUUCUUAAGUCUGAUGUGAAAGCCCACGGCUCAACCGUGGAGGGUCAUUGGAAACUGGGAGACUUGAGUGCAGAAGAGGAAAGUGGAAUUCCAUGUGUAGCGGUGAAAUGCGUAGAGAUAUGGAGGAACACCAGUGGCGAAGGCGACUUUCUGGUCUGUAACUGACACUGAGGCGCGAAAGCGUGGGGAGC